rnacentral:rRNA from 1 species
GUACACUCCUGCGGGAGGCAGCAGUGGGGAAUAUUGGACAAUGGGCGCAAGCCUGAUCCAGCCAUGCCGCGUGAGUGAUGAAGGCCCUAGGGUUGUAAAGCUCUUUCACCGGUGAAGAUAAUGACGGUAACCGGAGAAGAAGCCCCGGCUAACUUCGUGCCAGCAGCCGCGGUAAUACGAAGGGGGCUAGCGUUGUUCGGAUUUACUGGGCGUAAAGCGCACGUAGGCGGACUAUUAAGUCAGGGGUGAAAUCCCGGGGCUCAACCCCGGAACUGCCUUUGAUACUGGUAGUCUUGAGUUCGAGAGAGGGGAGUGGAAUUCCGAGUGUAGAGGUGAAAUUCGUAGAUAUUCUGAGGAACACCAGUGGCGAAGGCGGCUCACUGGCUCGAUACUGACGCUGAGGUGCGAAAGCGUGGGGAGCAAACAGGAUUAGAUACCCGGGUAGUCCCAUGA